rnacentral:hammerhead_ribozyme from 1 species
AUCCAGCUAACUAGUCUCAAAUAGAGCGAAACGCGCGUCCUGAAU